UACAGAGGGGGCAAGCGUUAUUCGGAAUUAUUGGGCGUAAAGGGCGCGUAGGCGGCGAUUCAAGUGACGGGUGAAAUCCCUCGGCUUAACCGAGGAACUGCCUGUCAGACUGGAUUGCUUGAGGCCGGGAGAGGCGAGUGGAAUUCCCAGUGUAGCGGUGAAAUGCGUAGAUAUCUGGAGGAACACCGGUGGCGAAGGCGGCAUCCUGGACCGGUAUUGACGCUGAGGCGCGAAAGCCAGGGGAGCAAACGGG
rnacentral:rRNA from 1 species